rnacentral:rRNA from 1 species
AGGAUCAUUAUCGAAACAGCACGACCGAGUUGUCGCUGGCCCCUAGGGGUCGUGCACGCUCGUCGUCCUUCAUUUCUCCAUCUAUUUGUGCACCUCUUGUGUGGAUCCAUGUCCUUUGCGGACGAUUGGGGACUGCUUUGCAGCUUUCCUUGUGGUAGAGAUCCUCAUUUUCUUCACAUACCACUAGAAACAAUAGAGAAGGGUUGGAAAUAUAUAUAAUAUACAACUUUCAGCAACGGAUCUCUUGGCUCUCGCAUCGAUGAAGAACGCAGCGAAAUGCGAUAAGUAAUGUGAAUUGCAGAAUUCAGUGAAUCAUCGAAUCUUUGAACGCAUCUUGCGCUCCUUGGUAUUCCGAGGAGCAUGCCUGUUUGAGUGUCAUUAAUAUCUCAACCAUGCGCAAAAGCGUAUGGCUUGGACUUGGGGGAUGAUGCAGGCUCCGACUUGGUCAGUCUGCUCCCCUGAAAUACAUGGGCGAAAUGAAAGGCCUCUCUGUUGGGUGUGAUAACUUUAUCUGCAUUCCGAGGGUCGUUUACGUUUGCCGCUUUGGAUUUUUUAUUUGACUUGACCUCAAAUCAGGUAGGACCACCCGCUGAACUUAAGCAUAUCAAUAAGCGGAGGAAAAGAAACUAACCAGGAUUCCCUUAGUAACUGCGAGUGAACUGGGAAGAGCUCAAAUUUGUAAUCUGGCAGUCUUUCGAUUGUCCGAGUUGUAAUCUAGAGAAGUGCUACCUGCGCUGGACCGUGUACAAGUCUCCUGGAAUGGAGCAUCACAGAGGGUGAGAAUCCCGUCUUUGACAUGGACUGCCAGAGCUUAAUAGGUGCGCUCUCGAAGAGUCGAGUUGUUUGGGAAUGCAGCUCAAAAUGGGUGGUAAAUGCCAUCUAAAGCUAAAUAUUGGCGAGAGACCGAUAGCGAACAAGUACCGUGAGGGAAAGAUGAAAAGAACUUUGGAAAGAGAGUUAAACAGUACGUGAAAUUGCUGAAAGGGAAACGCUUGAAGUCAGUCGCGUCGGUCGGAAAUCAACCUUGCUUCUGCUGGGUGUACUUUUCGUUCGACGGGUCAGCAUCAGUUUUGGUCGCUGGAUAAAGUUCUUGGGAACGUGGCAUCCUCGGAUGUGUUAUAGCCCUUUGACAUACGCAGCGGCUGGGAUUGAGGAAUUCAGCACUCCCCCCGGGGCUGGGGAC